AGUAACGGCGAGCGAACGGGGAAGAGUCCAUAGCCGAAUCUCCCGCUUAACGGCGCGGGAAAUGUGGCGUAGGGGAGUCGGCACUCUCUGAGUGCGACCGGCGGUGCAAGUCCCCGUGAGAGGGGCUCGCUACCCGGAGCGGGUGCUAGGCCCGUACCGCCGCCGGUCGUCGCGCGGAGUCGCCGGCGUCCCGGGAGUCGGGUUGCUUGGGAGUGCAGCCCAAAGUGGGUGGUAAACUCCACCUAAGACUAAAUAUGCCCGAGAGACCGAUAGCGAACAAGUACCGUGAGGGAAAGUUGAAAAGCACUUUGAAGAGAGAGUUCAAGAGCACGUGAAACCGUUCAGAGGUAAACGGGUGGGGCCUCGAAGUCCUAAGGCGGUGGCGCACUCAGGUCGGUACGACGGCAGUCCGAGGUAGUCGAGCUCCACGAGAGGAGCGCCUACGGGGACGGUGCCGCGGUAGCGUGCCGCACUUGCGCCCCCGCCCAUCGGGGCGUCGCGACCGGUUGGGGGGCCGUCACAAGGCGGAGCGCGCAAGGUAGCCCGUUUCGGCUCGUCCGAAGACGGGUGUUAUAGGCGGCUCGACGCCCGGCGGGUCUCCCGACCGGGGAGAGGGGUUCUUACCCCGGCGUUCUCUCCGCAGGAGCGGUAUCGUCCGCGGGGCAAGUUCUCGCGCGCUGUGCCACCUCGAAGGUGAGCGGCGCGGAGAUUGGGCCCGACGCGGGCGGUCAUCGCGGGGAGCCGGGGGUCGGCGGCGAGUAGGUCGGUUACCCACCCGACCCGUCUUGAAACACGGACCGAGGAGUCUAGAGCGCGCGCGAGUUCCCGGGACUUGAUCAGGCCCGAGGGCGCAAUGAAAGUGAAGGGCGUUUCGGACGCCUCAGUUGGGAUCCCGCGUCCUCCGGGGCCGGGCGCACCAACGGCCCGUCCGAGCCGGUUUCGGCUGGGCGGAGCAAGAGCGCGCGCUCUGGGACCCGAAAGAUGGUGAACUAUGCCCGGACAGGACGAAGCCAGAGGAAACUCUGGUGGAGGUCCGUAGCGGUUCUGACGUGCAAAUCGAUCGUCGGAU
rnacentral:rRNA from 1 species